rnacentral:rRNA from 1 species
AUGAACGCUGGCGGGCGUGCCUAAUACAUGCAAGUCGAACGGGAGGCUAUUCUUCGGAUUAGCUGAGAGUGGCGGACGGGUGAGUAACACGUAGGCGACCUGCCCUGAAGACGGGGAUAACCGCACGAAAGUGCAGCUAAGACCCGAUAAGCUCACGAGGAUUAGAAGCUCGUGAGAAAAAAUUUAUUGCUUCAGGAGGGGCCUGCGGCCCAUCAGGUAGUUGGCGAGGUAACGGCUCACCAAGCCGGUGACGGGUAGGGGGCCUGAGAGGGUGACCCCCCACAUGGGGACUGAGACACGGCCCCAACUCCUACGGGGAGGGCAGCAGUAAGGGAUAUUGCACAAUGGGCGCAAGCCUGAUGCAGCAACGCCGCGUGCCCGAUGAAGGCCUUCGGGUCGUAAAGGGCUUUUCUGCCUGAAGAGGACGGACUGUAAGGCAGGAAUAAGUGUCGGCUAACUACGUGCCAGCAGCCGCGGUAAAACGUAGGACGCAAGCAUUAUCCGGAGUUACUGGGCGUAAAGGGCGGGCAGGCGGUUGUCUCAAGUGGGCUGUGAAAGCGCCCGGCUUAACCGGGCGAGGCCAGUCCAAACUGGGAUGCUGGAGGGCAGCAGAGGUGCGUGGAAUUCCGGGUGGAGUGGUGAAAUGCGUAGAGAUCCGGAGGAACACCAGAGGCGAAGGCGGCGCACUGGGCUGUACCUGACGCUCAACCGCGACAGCCAGGGGGAGCGAACGGGAUUAGAAACCCCGGUAGUCCUGGCCGUAAACGAUGCUCGCUGAGUGUCGGGGGGUUACCCCUCGGCGCUGAAGCAAACGCGCUAAGCGAGCCGCCUGGGGAGGUACGGUCGCAAGGCUAAAACUCAAAGGAAUUGACGGGGGCCCGCACAAGCAGCGGAGCGUGUGGUUUAAUUCGAGGCUACACGAAGAACCUUACCUGGGUUAGACAGGACGCCAGUAGGGCGCCGAAAGGCAACCGACCCGCAAGGGGCAGCGUCCCAGGUGCUGCAUGGCUGUCGUCAGCUCGUGCCGUGAGGGUGUUAGGUUAAGUCCUGUAACGAGCGCAACCCCCGGGUCUAGUUACACGAUGUCUAGACCGACUGCCCGUGACAAGCGGGAGGAAGGUGGGGAUGACGUCAAGUCAGCAUGGCCUUUAUAUCCAGGGCUACACACACGCUACAAUGGCCGGUACAAUGGGUCGCCAAGCCGCAAGGCGGAGCCAAUCCAUCGAAAGCCGGUCUCAGUUCGGAUUUGGGGGGCUGCAACCCGCCCCCCAUGAAGUCGGAGUUGCUAGUAACCGCGGGUCAGCCAUACCGCGGUGAAUACGUUCCCGGGCCUUGUACACACCGCCCGUCACGUCAUGGGAGCUGGUCACGCCUGAAGCCGGUGGGCUAACCGCGAGGAAGCCGCCGUCCAAGGGCAGGGCCGGUGACUGGGACG